CCGCAGCCCAGCUCGCCACCAGCACUUGCCUGGACAAUCUGACCUGGUCACAAGUUCCUGAGCUGUGUUACAGGAAGUCUUGUGGUGUUCCAGCAAAUCCACAGCAUGGCAGAGUCAUUGCAACGGAUCAUCUGCUCCAUGCAGAGGCAGUGGUGGUUUGUGACCCUGGGUACACAUUAAAGGGACUUUCACCUCAUGUCUGGUGCUCCCUAAGGGGAGAUGAAGUUGCCUGGAGUGACAUUCCAACGUGUUGGG